rnacentral:rRNA from 1 species
UGGUGCUUGCACAGAUGACGAGUGGCGCACGGGUGCGUAACGCGUAUAGAACCUACCCUGUACAGGGGGAUAGCCCAUGGAAACGUGGAUUAAUACCCCGUGGUGAUAUUUUAUGGCAUCGUAGAAUAUUUAAAGUCUUCGGGCGGUACGGGAUGGCUAUGCGUCUUAUUAGUUAGUAGGUGAGGUAACGGCUCACCUAGGCAGCGAUAAGUAGGGGCCCUGAGAGGGGGAUCCCCCACACUGGUACUGAGACACGGACCAGACUCCUACGGGAGGCAGCAGUGAGGAAUAUUGGACAAUGGGCGGAAGCCUGAUCCAGCCAUGCCGCGUGCAGGAAGACGGCCCUAUGGGUUGUAAACUGCUUUUAUACAGGAAGAAUAAUCACCACGUGUGGUGAGAUGACGGUACUGUAAGAAUAAGGACCGGCUAACUCCGUGCCAGCAGCCGCGGUAAUACGGAGGGUCCGAGCGUUAUCCGGAAUCAUUGGGUUUAAAGGGUCCGCAGGCGGGCAAUUAAGUCAGGGGUGAAAUGGUGCGGCUCAACCGUAGCACUGCCCUUGAUACUGGUUGUCUUGAGUUGUGGUGAAGUGGCCGGAAUAUGUAGUGUAGCGGUGAAAUGCAUAGAUAUUACAUAGAACACCGAUCGCGAAGGCAGGUCACUAACCACUAACUGACGCUGAUGGACGAAAGCGUGGGGAGCGAACGGGAUUAGAUACCCCGGUAGUCCACGCUGUAAACGAUGGAUACUAGCUGUCGGGACUUCGGUCUCGGUGGCCAAGCGAAAGUGAUAAGUAUCCCACCUGGGGAGUACGUUCGCAAGAAUGAAACUCAAAGGAAUUGACGGGGGCCCGCACAAGCGGUGGAGCAUGUGGUUUAAUUCGAUGAUACGCGAGGAACCUUACCAGGGCUUAAAUGCAUAAUGACAGGUC